rnacentral:rRNA from 1 species
AGUGAACGCUGGCGGUAGGCCUAACACAUGCAAGUCGAACGGCAGCACAGUAAGAGCUUGCUCUUACGGGUGGCGAGUGGCGGACGGGUGAGGAAUACAUCGGAAUCUACUUUUUCGUGGGGGAUAACGUAGGGAAACUUACGCUAAUACCGCAUACGACCUACGGGUGAAAGCAGGGGAUCUUCGGACCUUGCGCGAUUGAAUGAGACGAUGUCGGAUUAGCUAGUUGGCGGGGUAAAGGCCCACCAAGGCAACGAUCCGUAGCUGGUCUGAGAGGAUGAUCAGCCACACUGGAACUGAGACACGGUCCAGACUCCUACGGGAGGCAGCAGUGGGGAAUAUUGGACAAUGGGCGCAAGCCUGAUCCAGCCAUGCCGCGUGGGUGAAGAAGGCCUUCGGGUUGUAAAGCCCUUUUGUUGGGAAAGAAAAGCAGCAGGUUAAUACCCCGCUGUUCUGACGGUACCCAAAGAAUAAGCACCGGCUAACUUCGUG